UCGAGCCUGUCGCUGCUGCC
rnacentral:misc_RNA from 1 species